UGCUACCUGAAUUGGAUCGAUUGCAUAGCGCCCUGCAGGGGUUUCCAUAGUGAGUUUCAGAAGUGUUGAGCACCGUGCGGAGCGCGCCUGACUUCCUGGUGUAGGAUUAUGGGCAUUUCCCUCACCGAUUUCACCAGGAGAACACUCUCCGCGAUGUAAACAAGACGGAGACGCGCGCGUUAGAACAAGGACAUGAACGCGUCUAGCAGCGGACCUGUGGAGAACAAGCUUACCUCUCUGAAAGCUCACCUGGGCCCCAGCUGCCUCCGCACCCCCCCCACUCUCCCACCAUGACUUCUGAUACGGAGCAGGAUGCUGCCAUUAAACUUGACCAGGAGCGGGCGGAGAUUGUGGCCAAAUAUGACAAGGGGAAGGAGGGAGCGACGGUGGAGCCCUGGGAGGAUGCCAACUUCCACCUGUACAAAGUCAUCGACAGAUUCGGCUU